UUUUUUCAUUGUUUAAGAUGAAAGUUUUUCUUUUGCUUAUAUUUUUUGCUAUUAUUCUGUCCUUCGACGCAGCAGAAGUCAAGGAAUGUCCGUUAAGUCACAAGAAAAAACAUCAUAAAAAACAUUCCCAAAGAAAACAAAGAGAUAUUAAUACAUUUUUGGGAGAUAUGAGAGACGAUGUGGAUAAGGUUGUUUUGGGCCAUAGUUUCUGAUAGAUUAAAAGAUCACAACAUGAAGUCCCUUGUACUAAAAUUUUAAAUAAUUUAAAUUAUCACAAAUAUUCAUAUCAAUUCUGCACUGAAUUUUUUUUGUAUUUUUCUCACUUUUGAAUAUUUAGUCAUUUUAGUCAUGGAUAUUAUAAUAAAUUAUAACUAACAAGUUUUAAUUUAUUUAAUAUUUAAAUUUAGAUAAUAAAAUAUGAUUAAUGAAAUUGUAUUUUUUAUUAAAUAUACGUAUAAAAUUUCUGUAAA